rnacentral:rRNA from 1 species
AGACCCGAAACCCGGUGAUCUAGCCAUGGGCAGGUUGAAGGUUGGGUAACACUAACUGGAGGACCGAACCGACUAAUGUUGAAAAAUUAGCGGAUGACCUGUGGCUGGGGGUGAAAGGCCAAUCAAACCGGGAGAUAGCUGGUUCUCCCCGAAAGCUAUUUAGGUAGCGCCUCGUGAAUUCAUCUCCGGGGGUAGAGCACUGUUUCGGCUAGGGGGCCAUCCCGGCUUACCAACCCGAUGCAAACUGCGAAUACCGGAGAAUGUUAUCACGGGAGACACACGGCGGGUGCUAACGUCCGUCGUGAAGAGGGAAACAACCCAGACCGCCAGCUAAGGUCCCAAAGUCAUGGUUAAGUGGGAAACGAUGUGGGAAGGCCCAGACAGCCAGGAUGUUGGCUUAGAAGCAGCCAUCAUUUAAAGAAAGCGUAAUAGCUCACUGGUCGAGUCGGCCUGCGCGGAAGAUGUAACGGGGCUAAACCAUGCACCGAAGCUGCGGCAGCGACACUAUGUGUUGUUGGGUAGGGGAGCGUUCUGUAAGCCUGUGAAGGUGGCCUGUGAGGGUUGCUGGAGGUAUCAGA